rnacentral:lncRNA from 1 species
GUAAACAUUAACUACUAUAUUGAAGAUAUAUUAUUAUAAUUGGAUCCAAUGAACGAUAUUGUAUAUAAUGAACAAUUUGGUUAUCAAAAUGGUUAUAGUAGUGUACAGAGAACCAAAUCCCUUGGACUAUUGGACAAAACGCAACUAAAAGUCAAGAGAUCAUUUAUUGACUAGUAUAUUAUUAGAAAGACAUGUAUGGUUAUAUGAGCGGAAUUUCGAAAUGCUAAAAUUAUGGUAUUCAUUCUUUGUACUGAAAGUUUUAUUAUAAAGUCGUUCUGAACCAAACUUAGUAACAAGUAGUAAUAAAUGCACAAACUGGGCAACUUGUAUUAUAAAAUGAUUUACGGUCUUGAUUACGAUACUGAUUAAGACAACCAUUGGUUACUUUAUUUGGAUUGUUCGUUUUUUUCUAUUAAGCAAACAUCGGAUAUAUAACCCUAUAACCAAGCAAAACAAGAGAUACUCUUGAAACAUUACAUAAGUGUAGAAUAUAUAUGUAUGUUGUAUUGGAUGUAGAAUUACAAUUUUAUUUACGAAAAUGUGUUCCUCUAAGGUCUUGUCAAUAAACUCAUCAUAGAUACCAGGA